CGAACUCCUCGUCGCCAUCUUGUCUGCCCAGCUUCCCGUAGCCAUCCUCGCCUGCCUUCUCGCGCUGUUUCUAGCUCUCGCCAUCCCUCGGCGUACUCUUCCUCUCCUCCGAGUCAGAGUACCCUGGAGGGAUAAUGCUCUGCAGCACUGGCUAGAACUUCCAUCCCUGUGGUGAAUAAGAGUGAUGAAAGUGGACACCAUCGUAUUAUUGAAUUGAAGGGUAGAGACGGGAUUUCACCGUGUGUCCAGGAUGGUCUCAAUCUCCUGACCUCAUGAUCUGCCCACCUCGACCUCCCAAAGUGCUGGGAUUACAGGCGUGAGCCACCACGCCCAGCCUAGGUAUGGAUUUUGACUCUCACUAGAUAUGCAUCCUUGGAUGAGGAAACCGUGGCAAAAACAGAUGAAAUAAGUCAUCUGAAGCCAUACAACCAAGAAAUUUCUGGCAAGAACUUCUGGCAGUCUCCUGUUUCCCAGAUGCCCGGCUCCUCACUGACGUGCACAUAACAGCAAAUCUAUAACAAUCCUCCUUCCAAUUACAUCAGGUGGUGGGGGGGGGGGCGCGAGCAGGAGGGCAUAAGAAGGUCAGUACCCUAGAAGGCAGCCUCAUUUACUCAUCCACUAAGAAAAUAAUGACUGAACACCUACCAGGUUCCAGGCACUUGGGAAAAGGCAGUGAGCAAGACUGAUGAAGGCCCCAGCCCGCAAAGCCUCAUAUUCAAAAGCUGGGACAGAGAUGAGAGAAAAGUAAAGAAAUAAACAAGACAUCCUGGAUGGCGAUAAAUGCCAUGAAGAUAAUAAAACAGGGUUAUGUGAUAGAAAAUGGCCAGAAAUGAGGAUAGCAGGUUUGAUGGAGGUCUUUUCAAGAGGACAUGCAAUCAGGACCCAAUCAUGCAAUGAUGUGUGGGAAGAACCUUCCCAUAGGCCGGAGGGAGGGAUGGGCUUGGUUUAUGUGACAAAGGCUAAGUGGCUGUAGCAGAGAGAACUAAGGGAAGAGAAGCAGAGGCUAGAUGAUGGUGAGCCUUAUAAUCGAUUCAAAGACAUUCCAAGUAAGUGCAAAAGGAGGCCAUCAGAGGGGCCCUUGUGGACAUUGCAAUACAAUGUUGAAGUCCAAAAACAAUAGUCUAUUCAUUGACCUACCCUUAUUUCCUAAACUCUAAAUAAUGCUCAAUAAUUUUUUUUUAACCAAUUUACAAAUGGUUUUUUUACUUGUGCCUUCGUUUUGUUUUUGUUUUUUGUUUUGUUUUGUUGUUAUACUUCUAGCGUACAAUGUGCAGGUUUGUUACAUACGUAUACAUGUGCCAUGUUGGUGUGCUGCACCCAUUAACUCAUGAUUUAUAUUAGGUAUAUCUCCUAAUGCUAUCCCUCCCCCCUCCCCCCACCCCACCAUAGGCCCCAGUAUGUGAUGUUCCCCACCCUGUGUCCAAGUGUUCUUAUUUUCACUUCCCACCUGUGAGUGAGAACAUGCGGUAUUUGGUUUUCUGCCCUUGUGAUAGUUUGCUCAGAAUGAUGGUUUCCAGCUUCAU
rnacentral:lncRNA from 10 species